AGUUCUGUAGUGUAGUGGUUAGCACAUCUGCUUUACAUGCAGAAGGUCCUGGGUUCGAUCCCCAGUGGAACCA